GGUAAAUCAAACAAUUAAAUGAAUAAUUUCUGGUCCAAGAUGAUACAAAAAAAUGCUGAAUUUCCUCUAUCCAAGUCCAACUCAACUAAACUUGCUUAGUGCUGCUUCCCACUAUGCUAAAAAUAGUUGAGCAGCUUGUGAAUCACCAAUUUCAUCGGUGAGCUGAAUGCGAUGAAUCAAAACAUACCAGCACUUUUUGCUACAAGGAGAAAGCUUCCGAGGAAGAGAAGCUGAUCACGGAAACUGGAAUGAUCCUCCAAUUUGGGUAGUGCCUGCUGGAGGAUUAAUCGCAACCCAAAGAAGGGAUAUGGUGAUCGCGAUAAGUCCUGACCAUACAAAGACAAUGGUUGGUGUCCUGCCUCUUCUGCCCAUAAGACCUUUCGCAAAGGGAUAGAGAUGUGCUAAAACCCAAAAACUGAAGAAUACACCUCCUAGUAAACGACUCCACUGUGGUAUAACACUGUAUAUUGUCCUGCUAAAACCAACUGCUAUUGCUAUCAAGUUCACCAUCAUGAUUGUAAUUGGUGGAAUCAUGAGGGAUGUCCACUUAACGAGAUACAGAUCAGCAAAGUCAUCGUCUUCUUCAUCACCAGCUGAUUUUGACGUC
rnacentral:misc_RNA from 1 species